CAUAACCCAGCCCGAUAGCCUAUCCUACUCCCCGAUUAUUUCAUUUCUCUUUCCCUCCGCGCCGAUCCAAAUCUUCUGCCGUCCUAUCUCUUCCGCCGCCGUCGCCGAGAGCUCCAUCGCCAAUCCAAAUCUUCCGCCAACGUCGUCGAGAGAUCCGCCGCCGUCCAAAUCCGUAUAAAUGGCACGUCAAAAAAGCUUUCCGCCAUGAUUUUUGCAAUCACAACUCAAUUUACUUAGAAAGAAAAAAGGAUUCGGGUGACUCUUCAUCGCAUACUCCAGUGGAGGAUCUCCCUAAGGAGAAAAAUCUUAUAGAUCCCACAUGACCAUCCACUGAUGAGAGGCCAUCCACUAAUGAUGGUGUGUAAAAUCUAGAUGAGCCCACACAGUUGACUGAUAAAGGCACAAAUACAGAGUCUUUCAGCUCCUAAAGAAGGCGAGGUAGCAACAAAAACUUUGAAUUGGCCAAAUUGAUGGCUAAUGGAGAAAAGGUGCGGGUCACAUUCAACCCAAUUGAUAGAAAGCUGUGCUUAAAAAAUAGGGGCAUGUGGAGUCGGUAUUUGGGGGCCAUUGUUCGAGAGAAUAAUAUUAUUUCACAUUGCACAGUCCAUUGACGCCACCUCACCCCACCGCCUUAUAUACUCUAUGACAAUCCGUUAUUGAUAAAUUUGAUUCAGAUGAUAUUGAGAGUUAUCAAGACGACGCUUUGAGACACAUAAAGACGAGGUGGGAGGAUUUGAGGUAUGACAUAAAUCUCAAUAGGAUAAGGAAGCACAAAGAAAAUGUGGAAGCAAUCAGGACGAAUAAGCCUGAUGAAAUGACCCAACAAAAUUGAGAAU